rnacentral:tRNA from 1 species
GCAAUGGUGGCUCAGUGGUAGAAUUCUCCCCUUUCAUGCAGGAGACCCGGGUUCAAUUCCCGGCCAGAGCA